ensembl:lncRNA
CCCCCGUUCUCCUCAUUCUCCACGUUCUAAUUCCCCUCACUCCCCCACAGCCCACUGUUAGGCCUAGUAAACGGCCAUCUCUCUCCCCCAGCUAACGGCCAGGGAGACGUCAGUGGCAGUGGAGCCUUUCCAGAGCUCAAAGACCCUGAGAGUGACCAACCCCAACCUGACAGGGCAGAUGGGGUGGAGACCACUGACCAAACCCCAGCUCUGACCACCCCCUCUCCGCCACCCAGCCCCCGUAAGGACCCCUCCCGCAGGCUGAGCCGUAUCCCUGUCCUGCUGGACCUUCUCCCCACCCCUGGCUCUGCCAUGGAGAAGCUGCUCCAGAAGAAAGCCCCCCACCACCAGGGAGGAGGCCACCACCCAGCCCCCUCUCCCUCUAUCUCCCACCGCGGCCCCGUCGUGGCCUCGCUCCCCCACGGGGACCAGCUGUCCUCCGCCUCAGACCGCUCUGAGAAGGCCGAUGAGUCGUUCCUGGGCUCGCGCUCUGACUGCCAGGGGAAUGACGCCCCCUCCCUCUCCUCCUCUUCCAGCCCCCUGUUCCGUAAGAGCAAGAUCCCACGCCCUUUUAACCCUACCAACCCGGCCCCAGAGCAGGAGAGUGCUGCACAGUACCUUCCACGCCCACCCCCGGGGAGACCACCCAGUCGGCUUGCAGCGGAGGGCAGACUGAAGCGUUAUCGGAUCCGAGCGGGCAGCACAAGGGACUCAGACCUCCUGACCUGUCUGUCCCAGCUGAUGCACCAUGGUCAGGGUGGUGGAUCUGCCCGCGGUUCCCCCCACCACGGCCACUCCUCAGCCCAGCUUGUAGGCUCCCGGAUGGGCAUGUGUAGCCUGACCAGCUCCCCCCACCACCAUCACCACCGGAGCUCCAGUGCCUCCCCACGCAGCUGUUCCUCUCUACAGCGCUCUGUCUCCUCCUCCCCCUCUCGUCACGAACACCGCGGGGGAGAGCGAGGCAGAGUGGUUUGUUUCGGUCGCUCCUGUUCUCCUCCCAGCUUCUCUGGGUCCCCCCCUCCUCCCCGGCGCUCCUAUCCCCACCAUCAGGAGAUUUGCUGCUGCCGCCAGGCCCGCACCGGCUCCCACCACCACCACGCCCUCAAGUGGAAAGCCUGCAGCCGCGAGGAGAGAGAGAGAAAGUGCUCCAGCAAGCUGAGCAGCAGAUAAUGGGUCACUGCUCUGGCCCUGGUCCUAGCCUGACCCAUAGAAACCCCUGGCCCCGUUUAUUCAAGUGUCUCAGAGUAGGACUGCUGAUCUAAGAUCAGUUUGGCCUUUUAGGUAAUAAUGAAUAAGAUUACAUUUACAAUCGUAUUCAUUAUGACCUAAAAGGUUAGACUGAUCCUAGAUCAGUAGUCUUAUUGUAAGAGCAUUUACGAGUAUGGCCUGGGAGUCAGUGUCAUUGCCACAGCAGAGGGUGGGAUCAGGAUGUUGAUGCAGACCAAACGAUCCUGCUCUGGAUCAAUGAAGGCCUGAGGCUUCUGUCAGAGAAUACUGAACAUAAUGUCCCCCCCUCUCCUCCCCUGUCCCCCCCUCUCCUCCUUCACACUUUCUUCUCUAAUUCCAACUAUUUGGUCAUUGUUUAGUCCCUAAUUCAUAUGCCCACUUUAAUACUUCAUACCUAAUGCAAAAAGGAUCUAUGUGCAUUAUGCUAUGUAUAAGAUGUUGGUGUUCUUGUGGGGUGUUUUCCCUCAUAUCAUCAGUGAAGUGAACACACUUAGCCCUCAUUCAGAAAACCCUAGGUCAGUCAGUGGAUGAGCACUCAUUUAUUCAUCACUCACCAAUUUAAUAUAGACUCAGUCUAUUCUGUUUCCUCUGUACUGACCUGGGGAGUGCAAGGUAUAGCAAGUCUACAUUUAUGGCCAUGAAGCUCCAGAGAAAUGUACACUAUCUACAGAACCUAUUUAUUUACAUCUUGACACACUUGUCACACCAGGUACACACUAACUGAUGACAUCAUCGAUUGAUGUGUCCUCCCUCUCUCUGACUUCAGAUGUACAGUGAGUGUCGUUUAUAUCAAAGGCAUUUCAAGCAAUCAAUUGAUCAAUGAUAGAAGUGAUCAGUCUUUUGAGAAGGAAGUGAUCCUUCCUUUAAAACAAUCAUAUAAAAUGUGUGUGUGCUCACACACGUACUUGUGCCUAAUGUGUUGACUGAUCUGGGGAAUCUAAAUGGCAAACUAAAUGUGUGAUUGAACACUAGUUACUGGGCCAUGAUUCCCUUUGUAUGCUCCUCUUCAGAAUGGAGUCUGACUUUGUGUCCCAAUUCUCUACCCUUCCUCCCUGGACUUAAUAGGAAAUUAAUGGUGUAAGAGAUAUGAUGGCAACCCUCCCUAAGUUUGCCCAUGCUUACAACCAUCCAAUUCAUUUAAAUAUAUGGAUGGGGGAUUGGGAUGCCUGCUGAGGAGGAUUGGGAUGCCUGCUGAGGAGGAUUGGGAUGCCUGCUGAGGAGGAUUGGGAUGCCUGCUGAGGAGAAUUGGGUUGCCUGCUGAGGAGGAUUGGGUUGCCUGCUGAGGAGGAUUGGGAUGCCUGCUGAGGAGAAUUGGGUUGCCUGCUGAGGAGAAUUAGGAUGCCUGCUGAGGAGAAUUAGGAUGCCUGCUGAUAACACUUAUGGUACUCAUUACUACACUAGUGGUGAAUACUAAGUUAUUAUUAUCAUUCAUGUAUAAUGUGUGCCUUGCCUUGGCACUUUGAGCAGCUUCUGGUUUCACUGCAAAGUAUGUUUCUCAUUUUUAUUCAAGGAGUCUAAUAAGACUAAUUUGUGCCAGCUGCAAAGACAGACAGUCCUCAUCAUGUGAUUGUAGCAGUCUUAUUCACUACAGACAGACAGUCCUCAUCAUGUGAUUGUAGCAGUCUUAUUCACUACAGACAGACAGUCCUCAUCAUGUGAUUGUAGCAGUCUUAUUCAAUACAGACAGACAGUCCUCAUCAUGUGAUUGUAGCAGUCCUCAUCAUGUGAUUGUAGCAGUCUUAUUCACUACAGACAGACAGUCCUCAUCAUGUGAUUGUAGCAGUCUUAUUCACUACAGACAGACAGUCCUCAUCAUGUGAUUGUAGCAGUCUUAUUCACUACAGACAGACAGUCCUCAUCAUGUGAUUGUAGCAGUCUUAUUCACUACAGACACAGUCCUCAUCAUGUGAUUGUAGCAGUCUUAUUCACUACAGACAAACAGUCCUCAUCAUGUGAUUGUAGCAGUCUUAUUCACUACAGACAGACAGUCCUCAUCAUGUGAUUGUAGCAGUCUUAUUCACUACAGACAGACAGUCCUCAUCAUGUGAUUGUAGCAGUCUUAUUCACUACAGACAGACAGUCCUCAUCAUGUGAUUGUAGCAGUCUUAUUCACUACAGACAGACAGUCCUCAUCAUGUGAUUGUAGCAGUCUUAUUCACUACAGACAGACAGUCCUUAUCAUGUGAUUGUAGCAGUCUUAUUCACUACAGACAGACAUUCCUCAUCAUGUGAUUGUAGCAGUCUUAUUCACCACAAGGAAAAGGAAGCCAAGUUAAUGUUUUUAUUUGAUUUAUUCAGACAAUAUUUGAAGAACGAUCAUUGUUAUUUAUGAUAUUAAAAAAAGGAAAUGUUUUAAACUAAAACGUAGAUAUCCUGUGUUGUAUAAAGUUUAGGACAGGUCCAACAUUUGUCAGUUUCCCUCCUCUGGUCCUCCAGUACCCCCAACAGCACACGUUGUAGCCCCGGACAAACACACCUGAUUCAGCUCAUCGAGGGCUUGAUGAUUAGUUGACAAGUUGAAUCAGGUGUGCUUGUCCAGGGCUACAAUAGAAAUGUGUACUGUUGUGGGUACUGGAGGACUGGAGUUGGGAAACACUGAUUUAUGUCAUAAAUAUCCUAUACCAAAUCAAUGUUUCAAACUUCCAAAGGAUAAAAAACAUGCGAAGAAGAAUGUUGUCUUUGCUUUGUAAUGACAUGUUUUGUGCACUAUUAUUUCAAACAGUUAAUGUAUUGUUUGAGAACCGACCCCAUUUUCUUUACUUCAUAAAGAUUCAAUGAACACUCAUUUAAAACCUCCCUCACCUAACCUUGGUUCUACCUACUACACCCUCUCCCUUAGCCUGAAUUCCAGACCUAGUUUUGUGCUGACAUUCCACUCGUUGUACUCUGUGUCAUUGUCAAGCAUUGGCAUGAAAAGGAGUGGUAUGAUAGCAGAAACAGUGAUACGCAGGCUACCUCUCCCCACCCCUCUGCUUGUAAUACACUGAUAUAACUAACUCAUGCUUCCAGCACUACUAUGCCUUGCAUGCGCUGCCUACCGAGAAAAACAAUCAACCAAUCAGUGAAGUAAGCAGCAUACCAGUUCCCAUAAUGCACUGUGAUUGUCUGAAAGGGACUUAUGUUUGUUGGGUAGUACCACAUGUAUUUUGGUUGGAAUAUUUAAUUUGCUUAGAUUUCCCUUUCGUCUCAUGAUCUCAUUCACUCUUAUCGUCCCACUUGACCCACAGCAUUGGUCUGGUUUCCUAGGUCUCCAAUUCUCACAACUUAGGACUACUGUACUGACUCAUUACUGAUAAAAAAAAAACUUCUGUAUUUAUUUUACAUCUGUCUGAUUGGCUUAUUAUCAUGAUGUGACACAUGCAUCGUAGAGUCUGAUUGGCUUAUUAUCAUGACGUGACACAUGCAUCGUAGAGUCUGAUUGGCUUAUUAUCAUGAUGUGACACAUGCAUAGUAUGGUCUGAUUGGCUUAUUAUCAUGAUGUGACACAUGCAUCGUAGAGUCUGAUUGGCUUAUUAUCAUGAUGUGACACAUGCAUAGUAUGAAUAACGUGUAGAGGAAAAUAAUUGCCUUAAUCUAAAGUAAUUUUAUCAUACAACCAUAAUCUACUGUAAUUCUGCAGUAUGAGAUGAACUAUAAUGAUCUACUGUAUGUCAAGUGGAUUGUUUUACUUGGUCCAUUGUGGUAGAUGGUAUUGGUACCUGCCUACAGUCUGGUGGCAUUCCAGGUUGUUUACAUUACAGACAUGUUGAUACAGAUCUGAUUGAACUAAGAUAGCUACAAAUGUGAAAGAGAGUAGUGUUUAACAUUGCAGGAACCCCAUCAAUUACUUAAUGAUCUGUGCAAAGUGUAGGCAACCUCUCACAGAGCAAUGUGUAGGCAGCCUGGAACACCCACUCUUUCUCACAGAGCAAUGUGUAGGCAGCCUGGAACGCCCCCUCUUUCUCACAGAGCAAUGUGUAGGCAGCCUGGAACACCCCCUCUUUCUCACAGAGCAACAUGUAGGCAGCCUGGAACACCCCCUCUUUCUCACAGAGCAAUGUGUAGGCAGCCUGGAACGCCCCCUCUUUCUCACAGAGCAACAUGUAAGCAGCGUGGUUCUCCCUCUCUGUCUCACAGAGCAACAUGUAGGCAGAGUGGAACUCUCUCUCUGUCUCACACAGCAACAUGUAGGCAGCGUGGAACUCCCUCUCUGUCUCACAGAGUAACAUGUAGGCAGCGUGGAACUCCCCCUCUUUCUCACAGAGCAACAUGUAAGCAGCGUGGUUCUCCCUCUCUGUCUCACAGAGCAACAUGUAGGCAGAGUGGAACUCUCUCUCUGUCUCACACAGCAACAUGUAGGCAGCGUGGAACUCCCUCUCUGUCUCACAGAGCAACAUGUAGGCAGCGUGGAACUCCCUCUCUGUCUCACAGAGCAACAUGUAGGCAGCGUGGAACUCCCUCUCUGUCUCACACAGCAACAUGUAGGCAGCGUGGAACUCCCUCUCUGUCUCACAGAGUAACAUGUAGGCAGCGUGGAACUCCCUCUCUGUCUCACAGAGCAACAUGUAGGCAGCAUGGUUCUCCCUCUCUGUCUCACAGAGCAACAUGUAGGCAGCGUGGAACUCCCUCUCUGUGUCACAGAGCAACAUGUAGGCAGUGUGGAACACCCUCUGUCUCACAGAGCAACGUGUAGGCAGAGUGGAACUCUCUCUGUCUCACAGAGUAACAUGUAGGCAGCGUGGAACUCCCUCUCUGUCUCACUGAGUAACAUGUAGGCAGCGUGGUUCUCCCUCUCUGUCUCACAGAGCAACAUGUAGGCAGCGUGGUUCUUCCUCUCUGUCUCACAGAGCAACAUGUAGGCAGCGUGCUUCUCCCUCUCUGUCUCACAGAGCAACAUGUAGGCAGUGUGGAACUCCCUCUGUCUCACAGAGCAACAUGUAGGCAGUGUGGUUCUCCUUCUCUGUCUCACAGAGCAACAUGUAGUCAGCGUGGAACUCCCUCUCUUUCUCACAGAGCAGCUAUGAUGGGACUCAUCCCAAGGCAGACACAGACGGUGUUCAGUCAGUCAGUCGCCUUAAUCAUGUGUUUCUCUUCUCUUCCCCUGGCUGUGUGUAAAGCAACGGAUAACUGAACUGUGUCUGUCUGUCUACUCUGUGCUGAGGAUCACUCCACUGCUUAGCCCCAACCUACCGUCAGGUUCCUCCCAUAGGCUGUAUAGGGUUCUCCCUUUCCCUCUUUGACAGGUGUGUUCAAAUCAAAUGUUAUUUGUCACAUGCGCCGAAUACAACAGGUGUAGACUUUACUGUGAAAUGCUUAUUUACGAGCCCUUUCCCAACAAUGCAGUCAAAAAGUAAGAAUAAUUAGCAAAAUAAAAAGGGAAUAGUAACACAAUAAAAUAACAGUAACGAGACUAUAUACAAGGAGUACCAGUACAGAGUCAAUGUGCAGGGGUACGAGGUAACUGAGGUAAUAUGUACAUGUAGGUAGGGGUAAAAGUGACGAGGCAAUCGGGAUAAGAUAAUAAACAGAUUAGCAGCUGUGUGUGUGUGUCUGUCGUCAUUAUGCAUGUCUGAGUGUGGGUGUGUGUGUUCUGCCUUUAUAGAUCUGUGGGAACUAUUUCUCUAGCAAAUUAGCAUCAGAUAGAUUGCUUUGCUUUCUGUUGGCAGCUCUGUUCUUAUUGGCUCGUUUGGCCCAAUCAUGUUGUCCAUUAACUGGACAGAAUGCGGGACUUCAACGUCAGUAACAAUUUGACCAGUGAGAUGUGUCUGGAUUCUGGAAUCAGAACCGAGGUUGAGUGUUCUAAGGGUUUUAAAUUCCUCUUGGUUGUAUGAUAACGGUCUGUGUUUACAUCCAGAGAUUGUGAUGUAAACAUCCACAUAGUACCACACCAAGCAGUAUUGCGAUAUCUUUUCAAUUCUAGGCUAUAUUCGGUACUUCCAUAAGCUAACUAACUGCAACUUUUUAAUAUAUAACUGUAAAAAGUGAAAAGUAUUAAUUUCAAAGAUCAUCUUGAUGAACCAUUGCAUAUUGCUUCAGUAAUGGCUUCAGUAAAGAGCUAACGGAAUAAACAGUGAUGCCAAUAAUCAAUCCAUUAAUUAUAUUUGUAUUUUAUUGUUAUUAUUGCACAAACAAAGUGGUAUAUUGUUACUUUUCUGACUGAGAUUUUGAUUUGUCAGUGGUGACAUGGUGGUGGGAUUGUACAGGUGUCACGAAGCUGUCAUAUCAUGCCUGUAUCUGUGCUCCAAUGAUUGUACUCAUUCAUGGCCAGGCCACAGAUACUGUGUUGGAGGUUUUGGGACAAUAGGCUAAACAGCUAAAAACAACAGCAACAAACAACAACAAAUUGAUAUGUUGGGUGAAUGGAUGCUCAUUGUUGCCUGUGUGACUUCAGUGUUAGAUAUUUCUUGAAAUGGUUCACGUUUUAGUCCUGUGCUGCAACGGUUUAGAAAUAUGUGUACAGUCAGAAGGAAAGACUGUAACAAGGGGAAGAUCUACAUUGUACAUAACUGUAAUUAUUUAUGUUUAUUUUAUCGUUCAUACCAUAUCAAUGCCUUGUACAGUGUGGUUUUUUCCAGUUCAUUUAAAAUUAUUUUGUAUUUUAUUUUUAUAAACUGGUUAUAAAUAAA